CAAAAGGGUGAGUCGUGAAGGUGGUUACGUGAUGCAGAUGGUGAAACCAUCCAAUUUUAAUUUAAAUUCACAUAGAGGCCCCCCCCAACCCCCCCCCCCCCCCCACCUAGCAAACCAUCACCAAAGACAGCCCUGUAAUAAGGGUGGAGAGUACAGAGGGGGUGAGGGAGGUUCAAUCAUAAUAACAUACAGCUGCUUUAUGACAUAAUUUCUUUGUUCUUCAGUUCUUUGAUUCUAUUCAAACACGUUUCCACAUGUACUGUGCGAGAUCAUGCUGCUGGUCCCAACACACUCCUAAAAUAGAUGUUUACUGGGAAAGGGAAAUUAUGCUCUGCAUUUUAUUUUAUUGAAUCCACCCUAAACUAUUUCAUAAUUUCCCCACUGCUAUUAUAAUUAUAUUUGUAACAGGGUAAUUGAGAUUCACAGGAGACACAGUGAGCAGUUGUUGCUUGCAAGAGCAGCCUAAGAAUCUCCCAACAAUCUUCUGAACAUCCGAUCUCUGUGUCUCCUAUGAGUCACGUGAUGAUGAGCUUCUCCCAUGAUUCAAAGCAAUCCGACCUACAAACUAAAGGUUAAAUAAUAUCCUCAUAAACAAACUGUCAGUGUAGUUCUUUCUUAGUCAGAAGUCUGAGACGAGUAACACAGUAAGAAGCUCUGCGUUUCAAGAUUCAACAAUUAGAAAUCCUGCCGACUGCACUUGCUCCUAUAACAAUCAGAGCCAUUUUUGCAAGGAAUCCGAUCAACUCCACCUCUUUCCGGACCACAAAAUCCCUCCCUAGUGCCUGACAUUCCUGUUAAGAGAGUUCAAACACGGCAACCAUUCAAAAAACAAACCACCACCUCCUGGGAUUCAAAGCCCUGCCAAGGUGAUACAUUGAUUAAGCGCAACCCAGAACUUCUCUGGGAACCCUUGAGGAUUCUCAUCUGUCUUCGUGGAGAAAUCAGUUCAUCUUGCCUAAUUUCAUUUGUGAGGUGGUACUGCAUAGCUUAACUCUAUUAUGUUCUUGUUGUUCAAUGCAUGCUGUGAUACUUUUUGUUUCUUUGGGAGACAACAGCUGUUUAUUUUUUCACGGAUAGAUGUUUUCACAGACUUUUUUUUUUUUUUUUUAAACAGAUUUAAUUCAGCAGCAGUUGGGUUCAUUCAGCCACAGUAAAUCAAAGUCAGUUCAUUUCAUCCUUUAUUGCCUCAAACAAAUUUGAACUCCUAUUGAGCCCAUGAUCUUUUAAAAUACAAAAUAACUAUAAACUACAUAUAUAUAUUUCGUUAUGUGCAUGGGUUUCUGUCUGUCCCACAGUAAUGAAUUUUCUUAUAAUAUGCCCAGGAAAUCUAUUUAUUGAUCUAUCUGUCUUGAAUCCUGCUAGGGGCUCUGUGCUCCGAGGCAAUUAGAAACCCCAACGUGUCCCUAUCCCUUGUUCCAUUUAUGGAUAAUAAAGCACAGUGGGAGCAUUAUAUUGAGAUUUUGGAAUGUCUUAACAGUAAAAAUCCUUAAAACCGGCUUUUUUUUUAAAGGUAUUAUGAAAUUAAACAGCUAGUACUCAUGGUAUACAUUUCAGUUGAUUUAGUUUUGUAAACUGUAACAUGUUAGUAUUUAAUCUUCCAUAAAAAGUAUGCAUUCUGG